GCCGACUUAGCUCAGCAGGUAGAGCAACUGACUUGUAAUCAGUAGAUCACCAGUUCGACUCCGGUAGUCGGCACCA
rnacentral:tRNA from 3 species